rnacentral:rRNA from 1 species
AGAAAGUAGCUUGCUACUUUGCUGACGAGCGGCGGACGGGUGAGUAAUGCUUGGGAACAUGCCUUGAGGUGGGGGACAACAGUUGGAAACGACUGCUAAUACCGCAUAAUGUCUACGGACCAAAGGGGGCUUCGGCUCUCGCCUUUAGAUUGGCCCAAGUGGGAUUAGCUAGUUGGUGAGGUAAUGGCUCACCAAGGCGACGAUCCCUAGCUGGUUUGAGAGGAUGAUCAGCCACACUGGGACUGAGACACGGCCCAGACUCCUACGGGAGGCAGCAGUGGGGAAUAUUGCACAAUGGGCGCAAGCCUGAUGCAGCCAUGCCGCGUGUGUGAAGAAGGCCUUCGGGUUGUAAAGCACUUUCAGUCAGGAGGAAAGGUUAGUAGUUAAUACCUGCUAGCUGUGACGUUACUGACAGAAGAAGCACCGGCUAACUCCGUGCCAGCAGCCGCGGUAAUACGGAGGGUGCGAGCGUUAAUCGGAAUUACUGGGCGUAAAGCGUACGCAGGCGGUUUGUUAAGCGAGAUGUGAAAGCCCCGGGCUCAACCUGGGAACUGCAUUUCGAACUGGCAAACUAGAGUGUGAUAGAGGGUGGUAGAAUUUCAGGUGUAGCGGUGAAAUGCGUAGAGAUCUGAAGGAAUACCGAUGGCGAAGGCAGCCACCUGGGUCAACACUGACGCUCAUGUACGAAAGCGUGGGGAGCAAACAGGAUUAGAUACUCUGGUAGUCCACGCCGUAAACGAUGUCUACUAGAAGCUCGGAACCUCGGUUCUGUUUUUCAAAGCUAACGCAUUAAGUAGACCGCCUGGGGAGUACGGCCGCAAGGUUAAAACUCAAAUGAAAUUGACGGGGGCCCGCACAAGCGGUGGAGCAUGUGGUUUAAUUCGAUGCAACGCGAGAAUCUUUACCUACACUUGACAUACAGAGACUUACUAGAGAUGGUUUGGUGCCUUCGGAGCUCAUGAUACAGUGCUGCAUG